AUUGAACGCUGGCGGAAUGCUUUACACAUGCAAGUCGAACGGCAGCACGGGGGCAACCCUGGUGGCGAGUGGCGAACGGGUGAGUAAUACAUCGGAACGUGCCCAGUCGUGGGGGAUAACGUAGCGAAAGCUACGCUAAUACCGCAUACGAACUCUGGUUGAAAGCGGGGGAUCGCAAGACCUCGCGCGAUUGGAGCGGCCGAUGGCAGAUUAGGUAGUUGGUGGGGCAAAGGCUCACCAAGCCGACGAUCUGUAGCUGGUCUGAGAGGACGACCAGCAACACUGGGACUGAGACACGGCCCAGACUCCUACGGGAGGCAGCAGUGGGGAAUUUUGGACAAUGGGCGCAAGCCUGAUCCAGCCAUUCCGCGUGCAGGAUGAAGGCCCUCGGGUUGUAAACUGCUUUUGUACGGAACGAAAAGGCUUUCUCUAAUACAGAGAGCUCAUGACGGUACCGUAAGAAUAAGCACCGGCUAACUACGUGCCAGCCGCCGCCGUAAGAC
rnacentral:rRNA from 1 species